rnacentral:lncRNA from 1 species
AUUAGAUAGAUAGAUAGAUGGAUAGAUAGUUCCGUCCAGACGCCUUGUCACCCAAAUUUCUUGCAAGACUUGCAGCAACAGACUUGUUUUAGCGUAAACACCUGGUGAUGCAAACAAUGAUAUAAAAGAAAUGAUAGUACCAUACAAUCGUUAUGCACCCAGAAUAAUAAUGGUUCAGUAAAAACAUCAAGAUACGUCACAUCUCUUCGCACAUAUCAGUGGUUGUACAUGUCAUACCAAUCUAUGGCAUACGGUGCAUGUUUAAAAGGUAUAACAAAACACAAUAGAAGAAAGUAGUGGCUUAGCCCUAGAGAAUGUAAAAGGCAGUAGACAUAUAUAAUAAAGGGGCAUUAAUAUGCAUUUAUAGUAGUUUGUGACACAUGAUAACGGGCAGUAGAUCGCACACAUAGCUUGCUUGCACAUUUCACACCAACUGAGCACAAAUCAAGGCAUGAUAUGCACAAAAAUAACAGAGAAGCCAGUGUGGGAGAAGGGAUGGCUCACCAAUGCACCCCCAGAUCCAAGCUCCAACACUUCGAUGCCCUUUUGGAUUUUCAUGGAAAACCAUAUAGACACAUAUAAAUAAAAAAUCUACAAAAAGAAGAUGUUAUAUAUUGUAGUACUAAUUCCAAUCGAGGCAUGAUUAUAUUAUUGGAGGAUGUUGAACUCAACGGAUUAUAUUCUUAUUGAUUCCUUCUGAUUGUUUAUUUGCUGAAAGCCCACCGGUCAUGAAAUCAACUACGGAUGAUUGUUAAUUACAAUGCUCUAGGAGAACUGAUCAGGGUGUGUGAGCACAAAAAAACUCAGCAACCUUCGUGAUGACAACUGUGAAUAAACAUAAAAGGUAUAUUUUGCCUUUAUUAAUUAUUAAUUUUGACUUCAUAUUCACAAAGAGUAAUACCAAGUUCCAUUAAAAGGUUGAUAAAAGGCCGAGUGCUAGCCUUGCCUUUUUGGUUUUAAAGGGAGGGGGUCUCAUCAGCAAUGACACACCCCUUAGUUCACUACAGGGAGGGAAAACAGUCAGACCCACUUAUUCGGUAUCGAUGGAUCAAACAGGAAGCACAGGAGGCAAGUAGAAGCAUAUACCUUGAAGUACCAUCCCCCUCAUCACCUAGGGUAGCAGGACCAUCGACCAGCGCUGCAUAUUCAUAGAAGCCCAAAGCACAUACAACCAAAUUAGAUAAACAUGUUACUGAUAUUGAUCUUAUUCUUACAAAAGACAGCAGAUAAACAUGUCAGAAGAAAAUAUACACUUGAGAUUGUAUUUAGUAGAGUACAAAUUCAAAAAUACUUACAGUUGCAUUGAUGCAGCUGAAGCUGAUUAUCGUGCCCUGAGCUUCCCGCAGCUUGACAUGUGCCACCCGCUUUUCAACCAUCCUGUGGAUGCAUGGCUGUACAGCAGAACCUUGAAAACAACCAAGUUCAAAAUUGAACCAAAGAAUGAGCGAAAGAUAAGAAUGCCUAUCAGGCUAUGCUGUAAUUGUUGGAUUAAUAUAUUGGAAAUUAAGAAGCGUGAUAGUCAGAACAGACUAUAUCACAAGAUUAUAGCAGGGAUAUGCAACUACAGAUCAAGUAAAGAUGAUGUUGAAAUAGCUGAUGUGUUCACAACUCAAUUAAGAAGUAUAAUAACCUAAGAGACGCCGGUCUUUUUCCCUCCAUAUCUUAGCAUGGACAUUUCACAAUCCAUCUCCUUUAAUUCUUCUUAUAACAAUUAUUCAACACCCGGUCCACUAUUCGGCUAAUAUUAGCUAGCUCGCUACCUUGCUAUGGACAAUGUCCACACUAACAAUUUCAAUAGUUAUUCUUGUUCCCAGACUGAUCCAUAGACCAUAGUAUAUUCCUUCGCCUAAGCCUCUCGCAACGCAAGCUACUGCUCUCCUAUAUAAACCAAAAUAGCAUUAUAGUGUAGUUAACUCUUGGUUUUAUACAGGAUUCUAGUACUGUUGAAUAAAAACAAACCAAGUGCUUGUGGGUCAUGUAAACAGAGAAGCAAAUGAGAAAUCGGGAUGUGGUUCAAAAUAUUUCAGUGGUACCAUCUAUAGUUUAAAAAGUCAUUUUGGGACUAACAUACAUGUAGGUAAUGCACGAAUAUCAUGCAUGUUGCGCUAACAACAUUCUGAAAUCAAAUGCGCACACCAUCUAUCACAUGUCCUGAUUCCUAAAGCUGAAUUAAACUCAACCGAUAUAUGCAGAACAAUUAAUAUUUUUGUGGCAGUACGUAGAAAGAUAAACCCAUAAAGAGAUAAUAGAUAUGACUAAUGGGGUCAUUUUAAUUUACUAUAAUUGUCAUUUACCCCCAAAAACAGUUGAAAUUAUCAUGUAUGCCAUUGGGUGUCGUGUUAUUUAAACUAAAAUUCAGACAAAUAAAUAUAAAACUAACUUAGGAGAGAAGUACUUUGUCCUCCCUUUCUUUCUGCGCCUGUCGACCACUCAAAUGAUGGCACAAAGCAAAACCCAACAAAUUGGAAGGAAAGGAGAGGGGUCCCUCACCUAGCGAAGCGAUAGAGGGGGGGGGAGGCAACAGGCAAGAACAACAACGAUGAAAACUUGUAUAUGUGCGCCUAAUUGGGAGACAUAUAUUAGAUGACAUAAAAGUAUAUUGUGGCUAAUUCAAGAAAUCUAUAUAUCCUAGAAAAAUAAGUGAUUUCCAAUUGAUCAAAGGCAUCCUCUUUAUCAUCUGGACACACAAGAAGAAAAUUUCAGACCAAAUGUAGCAGAUCAGAUUGUCUUUUCAGCUUGUGAAAAAGAGUUAGCUUUUUUAGGGAUAAUAAGUCAAAAAGGUUAUGUUGUGGUCACAGGGAACAUAACGUCCUAACGGUGGAUACUCGAGUGGUAUAAGCAGGUAGUAUUUUUAUCUCAUUUAGUCGCAUUAAAAUGAACCUAGACUAUAUACUGCAGCUAAUAUAUUUCAUAUUGGCGUAAAGGGAGAAGCCCGGUGAAAUCAGCUAAGAAUUCAUCUAGGAACGAUCCGUUCUGUUAUUUUCAAAGGCACAUAUCAAAUGAUCCCAAGUAAGAAUAUCAAAGUUGUGGAAUCUCAAAAGAUCCAUCUAGGAACGCAAGUAUGGUAACUAAAUAGUGAUUAAAUUAAUGUUUGAGCUUGGAUAAGGUUACCUGGGUGGCCUCUUCUCCAAACGGUCCUCAACUUUGGGACAUAGAUGGCUUGCUUAAUGCAAUCCGGGCAGCAUGAGCCUCUUCAAAUGGAAUGAUCCCUG